UUCAGAUGUGGCCGUUUGGGGUGCUCUUUGUGGACUCUGCUGCGGUCUGACCUGAUUUUACUCCCACCCUGUGACUUCCGCCCAGACUCCAGCCCAGCUUUGAAGGGGACCAGCUGGAGCUGCUUUCUGAUGAGGUCUUGGACCUCCCCAGGGCUUCUUUGAGCCCUGGCCAGUGGCAGGUGCUGUGCUGCUGAGCUAAAUCCCCAGCCCCCCCGGUUUGCUUUUUAUUACGGUUUUGUAAAUAUUGUUCACAUUUGAGCUGCCAAGUGUUGUAAUACAAUUACUUUUAAAUAAAAUUUUUCUGGAGUUAUAA